AGAGAUGCACUGGGUGUAAAGCGUGCGCAGGCGGUUUUGUAAGACAGAGGUGAAAUCCCCGGGCUCAACCUGGGAACUGCCUUUGUGACUGCAAGGCUAGAGUACGGCAGAGGGGGAUGGAAUUCCGCGUGUAGCAGUGAAAUGCGUAGAUAUGCGGAGGAACACCGAUGGCGAAGGCAAUCCCCUGGGCCUGUACUGACGCUCACGCACGAAAGCGUGGGGAGCAAACA
rnacentral:rRNA from 1 species